rnacentral:tRNA from 1 species
GUUGGCAUAGUUUAAAAAAAACUUUAGGUUGUGAUCCUAACAAUAAGGGUUAAAGUCCCUUUGCUAACC